rnacentral:rRNA from 1 species
AGCGAACGCUGGCGGCAGGCCUAACACAUGCAAGUCGAACGAACCUUUCGGGGUUAGUGGCGGACGGGUGAGUAACACGUGGGAACGUGCCUUUAGGUUCGGAAUAACUCAGGGAAACUUGUGCUAAUACCGAAUGUGCCCUUCGGGGGAAAGAUUUAUCGCCUUUAGAGCGGCCCGCGUCUGAUUAGCUAGUUGGUUGAGGUAAUGGCUCACCAAGGCGACGAUCAGUAGCUGGUCUGAGGGGAUGAUCAGCCACAUUGGGACUGAGACACGGCCCAAACUCCUACGGGAGGCAGCAGUGGGGAAUCUUGCGCAAUGGGCGAAAGCCUGACGCAGCCAUGCCGCGUGAAUGAUGAAGGUCUUAGGAUUGUAAAAUUCUUUCACCGGGGACGAUAAUGACGGUACCCGGAGAAGAAGCCCCGGCUAACUUCGUG